UACGUAGGGUCCGAGCGUUGUCCGGAAUUACUGGGCGUAAAGAGCUCGUAGGUGGUUUGUCGCGUUGUUCGUGAAAACUCACAGCUCAACUGUGGGCGUGCGGGCGAUACGGGCAGACUUGAGUACUGCAGGGGAGACUGGAAUUCCUGGUGUAGCGGUGGAAUGCGCAGAUAUCAGGAGGAACACCGGUGGCGAAGGCGGGUCUCUGGGCAACAACUGACGCUGAGGUGCGAAAGCGUGGGGAGCGAACAGG
rnacentral:rRNA from 1 species